UGUUUAUAAAUCUCAAUGAGCCACAUAUUUAUUUUAUUUAUAAUGUCUCCUCUCCAUCAUCUCUCAUUAAUAUAUAUACUCCAGUAGUUCUGAAUCAAGUGAUGGAUCAGAUGAUCAUAAGACUAAUGAUGAUGAAAGGUCUCUGGAUGAGGUUGAUUUAGGUUCUCUCUCUCGUGCUAUUGCCACCAUAUCAAUACCUGAUACUCUACCUGAGGUACCUCUCCUGGUAAUCAAUAGGAACCCAAUGUUCCCAGGAUUUGUCAAAAUGGUGGAGGUUACUUAUGAAUCUCGAAUAUCUUUAAGAAAACAGGAAUGUGACCUGGUUUUACCUUAAUCUGGAGCUUUCCAUUAAAAGAAUGACAAUAAUGAAGCUGAUGUUAUCACUAAUCUUGAUGAUAUAUACAAUAUUGGUAAGUUUGUACAGAUCACUGAGUUUCAAGAGUUCAAUAAUAGAAUGAGAUCAAUAGACAAGUGCUGAAUUUUUAGAGAAAUUACGGUAGAUGAUCCUACCCAUCUUGCUGAUUUUGGAGCUGCACUGACCAGUGGAGAAUCA